UGUAUUCAAUUUUAAAAUUGC
rnacentral:piRNA from 1 species